AAAGCAGGUUGCAAUUACAGUGCUUCAUUUUGUGGAAGUACUGACAUUAUCCUGCUGAAAGAAAAUUGGUGUUAAUCUUUUGGUUUUGCCUUUAUGGGGGUAAAAUCGUGACAGAUUGACAUGGACAAUU